rnacentral:misc_RNA from 1 species
UCCUACUUAUGAAUAGGCAGUUUUUUUAAAGUACUUUUUAAAACAUAACUGUUCUAAAACUAGCAAUUAAAAACAAGGGUUGCGCUCGUUAAUGGACUUAACCAAACAUCUCACAACACGAGCUGACGACAGCCAUGCAGCACCUGUGAUAAGCAUUAGAAAUAAUAUUACUACUAUUCGUUCUUAUUAUGUCAAGGGCUGGUAAGGUGUUUCGUGUAGCAUCGAAUUAAAGGCACAUGCUCCACCGCUUGUGUAGGUCCCCGUCAAUUCCUUUGAGUUUCAACCUUGCGAUCGUACUUCCCAGGCGGAGUGUUUAACGUGUUAACUCAAAUAAUAAAAAUAAUUUUAUAUUUAACACUCAUCGUUUACUGCAUGGACUAC